ensembl:lncRNA
CUGGUACCCAACCAGCACCAGAUGUCAUUUGGACAUGGUUUUGUUUUUUUGGGCUAAAUCAACUCGGCUGUCUGAUUUGGUUCAAAUAUAGCCCCAAAAUCUAUGUUUAAUAUUAGGUUUUGUUUGGUCCAUCUGAUUUGGUCCAGAUUUAGGCCAAAAAUAAAUGUUGAAAUAACAGUGAAAUUCUGCGUGACUUCUACGGUGCUGUAAUGGGCGCGCGUGCUGAACUGGAGCGGAGGACGUCACCAUGGAAACGAGGCGGCAGCACAACCGUCAAGCAGCUGAACGCUGACUCUCAAUGUGGUUUUCACUAUUGUUUUUUAGAAAUGGUUUAGUGUCGUCAGAAAAAGUCCGUUAGCAUCUCAACCGUAAGGCUAACUACAAGAGGUAACGAUAAACUUGAGCUCUUAUUUAUUAAGUUUGGCCUUUUAUUGUCACCUUGUGUGUAGAUGAGCUCUCUCGCUCUCUCUCCCUCUCUCUCUAUAUACAGUAGGUAGACAUCCAAAACGUCGUUUCUACCGCCGC